CUCCCUCCGUCGCAACCGCCAGCCGCCGCCACCCUCUCCGUCGCAGCCCCCCGACCCUCCGUCACGGGGAUCAUCGGGAGAGCCACAAAAUAUGAGUUGAAAGUCAUACAACGGUUCAAAUCAAAUUCAGUAUUUGGGAAUUUCUAUCUCCUAGUGGCUAAUCCAGGUGUACCCCUGUCAAAGGAAAAUACCAAGUCCUACCGGAUUUUUGUAUGUUCAGUACUGUCUGCUCACUGUCAAUAGAGCCGCAUGGCCAUGCAAAAGUGAAGAGCUUAUGCUAAUUUUAGUUGUUACAUAUGUAAAUAAGGUUGGAGGUUUUGACUGUAGAGGUAAGAAAUGGUUUCAACUUGUACUAAUUUUACUUGUCCAUUGAUUACAGAACUGCAGGAAAUGUGAGGAAUUACUUGGUUACUCUAACACAUGCUGGCUGUUCCAAGAAAUCUAAUUGUUAGUUUGCAUUUGAUAUGCAGGAAGAUAUGGCCCUUAGCUCAUUGCUGACAUGGAUACAUGAUCAACUCCCCAGUAUGUAUGACCAGUCUUCACAUGGUGUCUCUGAAUUUUGCUUAAAUGCAGCGUUCCUGCUUUGUUCAUAAGGACAGUUGGUCUCCGCUGCCAUUCAACUGUUGAUACAUCAACAUCUUUAGAGUCAGUCGCAUAUCGUUGGACAGAAGGAGGCAUUGAGAAAUCUGAAGGUAGUUUGAUAGUGUAGAUGGCCAAAGGUAAACCAAUACUUUAGCAUCAGCCAACAAGAGCGUACUAAGCUCUAUGCUGCCGAUCAGUUCUUCAUCCGACAGUGCGGCUUCAAGCAUGACAAAGUCAUUGAGAUCCCGAUAGUGGCAGCGAAGCGGAGGUUGCCCCUGGUGGCGAGGUGCAGUGCGGCGAACAUUCUGGCGGCAAGUUGCAGAGUUGAUUUCCACGAUGUGAACAGUCAAAAAUUAUAAGGUGAAGCCUGUAAUAUAUGAGGAUGGGGCACUAGUUAUCUUUAAUUAUGAGAAUGUGACCACAUCAUGUUCUUGUAGAAGAUACGAAUCCAAAGGUUUGUUGUGCAAGGAGGAUAUACAGACCUUCUACUUCAAAAUGAUUGACCGUCAUAGCUGCUGCACCCUUCGAUAAGAAUGGAUUUUGAUGUAGUGAAUCUCAGAAAAUGGAAGGAGUAGGCAUAGCAAUAAUUUUGAUCGUCCGGGGGAUCACCAGCAGAGUUACGGACCCGUCCCCUCCGUCGCUUGGAUCGCUGAUGCUGCAGCGACCAGGACAUCAUGAUGAGAUUGUCGAUGACUUGGCUGUCCUUAUGGAGUCGCCCGGUAACUGGUCACAUUGUGGUCCGCUCUAAAUGUUAUGUCUGAGUCUGCUCCCAAAGUUCAGUUUGUGUAUCUUUCUCACUGUUGUAAUGUUGUAAAGAGCUGUAUGUAUGUGAUGCUUCUGAAGCGUUUGUUUCGUGACUCAGUUGCAAAGAUACAAAAAGUAGAGCUAAAUAUGACAGCAUCAAAAGUUCCAGAUGUAAUUUAAAUUUUAUAUGAGGAUCUUAAUUGUUUGUGUGUGUUUCA